UUGGGUCACCUGAUGCCCUUCUGUGCUGUUGGGUCACCUGAUGUGCGUCUGUGCGGUUGGGUCACCUGAUGUGUGUUUGGGUUACCUGAUGCGUGUUUGGGUCACCUGCUGUGUGUUUGGGUUGCCUGAUGUGGGUCCUUGAGAUUCCUAGGACAUGUACUCCGUCACACUUUAGUGUAUCUAUGUGUCCCCCUGUCUUUUACUGUAUGUCCCACUAUGUUUAAACACAGCCAAACAUGUGCGUACAUGUACACACACACACACGUGUUUGUAUUUGAUAACUGCGCAAUAAUAAAAUGAGCAAAUUGGCAUUAAUAUAUGACAUAAUAUACUUGUAAUCUGGGAACAUGGAGUUUAAAUUAAAACUGUUGUAACCUA